AUUCUGCUCAUCAGGACGUAGCGUUUUCAGUGGGAGAAAACGCUACGUCCUGAUGAACAGAAUCC
rnacentral:pre_miRNA from 1 species